AAAGUCGUAACAAGGUUUCCGUAGGUGAACCUGCGGAAGGAUCAUUAUUGAAAUUUAAAUGGAUGUGCCGCAACCCCGGACCCGGACCACAUGUGCACUCCACAAAAUCUUUCAUUCCCUACACCAUUGUGCACAACCCAGUAGGCAAAACAGGUUCACAGAGUAAUCUGUGCACAUUGUUUGUCUAUGCUUUUUAUACCAAACCCCAAUAAUAUGACAGAACAAUGUAUUCUAGUAAGCUUUCACAAGCUGAAAUCUAAUACAACUUUCAACAAUGGAUCUCUUGGUUCUC
rnacentral:misc_RNA from 1 species